UACAGAGGUCUCAAGCGUUGUUCGGAUUCAUUGGGCGUAAAGGGUGCGUAGGUGGCGCCGUAAGUCGGGGUGUGAAAUUUCGGAGCUUAACUCCGAAACUGCAUUCGAUACUGCGGUGCUUGAGGACUGGAGAGGAGACUGGAAUUCAUGGUGUAGCAGUGAAAUGCGUAGAGAUCAUGAGGAAGACCAGUGGCGAAGGCGGGUCUCGUGGACAGUUCCUGACACUGAGGCACGAAGGCCAGGGGAGCAAACGGGG
rnacentral:rRNA from 1 species